CUCUCUGCCAUCGUCAUCUCCCAUCGCCGGCUGUUAGCAUCUUGUAAUUUCUGUGGGCCAAAGUGCCUGCGUCAGCUCUAGCCAGGAAAAGACUGCCCAAAUGAAUGGGUGUUGCAUAAAACUCAAAUGUGUCCCUAAGUACCACAUGGCCAGUCACCAUUCUGGGCUCCCAGAGCAGGCAAAUCUUUCUAGAAGCUCACCAGGGCUCCCAGCAAAUGAAAGCUGUUUUCUGCUUCAGAAAUGAACUUUCUCCAUAGCCCCACAACCUCACAUACUCUCAAAGUCCCAGGGGAGAGGACAAUGGACUGGCAGCCUAGCUACACACCAUGCAGAUUACUGAGGGCUGUGGCUACAAGCGAAUGGGAGAUACAUCAGACGGAGUGGAUCUUGGUGGGGACAGACCUUCACUUCUUCACAGUGAUUCUUAUCUGUGCAAGUUUCACCAAACCCCCUUAUCCUCUCUAGUUACAGACGGUGCCACUGCGGCACAGAGCAGAGAGCCAUGACCUGAAAUCUUGUGAGGAAUCUCUGUACCCUACGGUGGUUAAUUAAGAGGCCACUUGCCCUGCCAGGACGCUUGACUGUCUGCAUCACGGAGAGAACCCAGUCCCCUGAGUGGAUGAAGAGCAGUUCCAGCAUAAGGCCAGGCCAGGCUAGGCAUGGCUCUGGUCCAUUGCCCCUUCCUGUCAUCGGGAAAAAUGCUUGAGUCAGCAGAGAAACGGUGGCUGUAGGCCAUUACUCCAGGGCUGACAGGAUGAAGGUGUGGUUUCACACCUCUGUUUGUCCAUCUGUAAAGUGGGUUAAUGCCUGUACCUGAGUCCAUAGAAUAAUCAAUGGAGACCUCAGGAGGAGACCCAAGUGUUAAGGACUGGCCCAAGGGCUGCUCAAGUCUGCCUGGUGGAUCAGGAAGACAGAGGACCGGGAUGGGAUGUCAAGCAAACGGGGAAGCCCCUACAGAAAGGAGCUGCUAGUCGGAAGGUCCUGGGGUUCAAUGGACCAACAAAACUUCCCACAAAAGGAAUCUUAAUAACAACAGUCGAAGUAAAUUCACUCCUGUCCCCUACACCUGGGAAGAACACAAAAACGCAUUCCAAGAAAACCCCA